CGCGAAUGGCUCAUUACAACAGCUAAAAUUUACUUGAUUUUGACUUUUAUCCUACAUGGAUAACUGUGGUAAUUCUGGAGCUAAUACAUGCAUAAAAGAUAAAACAUUUUACUGUUUUAUUGCGUAUAUUAGUAUUAAAACCAAGCAUUCUUCGGAAUGUUUUGUGUUGAAACUGAAUAUAUCAUGCUGAUCGUAUGGUCUUGUACCGACGACAUGUCAUUCAAGUGUCUGAUCUAUCAACUUUCUAUAUAAGUAUAUAGUACUUAUAUGGUUUUGACGGAUAACGGGGUAUUAGGGUACGACUCCGGAGAAAAUGCCUGAGAAACGGCGUUUACAUCCAAGGAAGGCAGCGGGCGCGAAAAUUACCCACUCUCAGUACGAGGAGGUAGUGACGAGAAAUGACAAGAUCUAUUCCUUCGGGGAUGGAUCAUUGGAAUGGUUUGAUUUUAAAAUCAUUAAAGAGUAUCAAUGAGAGGGCAGGUCUGGUGCCAGCAGCCGCGGUAAUUCCAGCU
rnacentral:rRNA from 1 species